rnacentral:rRNA from 1 species
GACGAACGCUGGCGGCGUGCUUAACACAUGCAAGUCGAACGGGUCUGCCCUGUUUUUUGCGGGGUGGGUCUGUGGCGAACGGGUGAGUAACACGAGAGUAAGCUGCCUCUCACUUCUGGAUAACCGCUUGAAAGGGUGGCUAGUAAGGGGCGUUCUGGCUGUGGCGCUUGGUGCGGCUGGGAUAGAGUCAUUUUUGUGGUGUUUUGGUGGGGGAUGGGCUCGCGGCCUAUCAGCUUGUUGGUGGGGCGAUGGCCUGCCCAGGCGUUGACGAGUAGCCGGCAGAGGAGGGUGAGCGAUCACACUGGGACGGAGAUACGGCGCAGACUCCUGCGGGAGGCAGCGGUGAGGGGUAGUGCACAAUGGGCGGAAGGCUGAUGCAGCGACGUCGCGUGAGGGAUGGAGGCCGGCGGGUUGUGAACCUCUUUCGCCGGUGAAGAAGGUCCUGCUCUUUGUGGGGGGGUUGACGGUAGCCGGGUUAUGAAGCGCCGGCUAACUACGUG